UAUGGUCCCCAUCAUUGUCUCUGGAGGGACUGGUGGACUAGCACUCCUGUUUCUGCUUCUGCUUGUCAUCUGUCUAGUCAGCAGGAGGACAAGGAGGAGCAGCAAGCCAUCUACAGAGACUGACCAGAGAGAAUGUAUUGACAACAGACACAACAGAGGGGAGGACAACGAAGAGGGAGAGGACUAUGUGAAUGUUGAAAACGUCUGUUACGAGAGAGGUCUAGAGGACUAUGUGCAUUUUGAAAACGUCUGUUACGAGAGAGGUCUAGAGGACUAUGUGCAUUUUGAGAACGUCUGUUACGAGAGAGGUCUGGAGAGAGGGAAGAGGGAAAAUAAGAAUGCAGAGGAGAAAGGGCACAGCUAUGGGAAAUCAGAGGAUGUCUAUGACAACAAAGAGGAAAAAAUGAACAGUGAAGAUGAUGAAGAAGAUUACGUUAAUGUCUCCGCUCAGGACAAUGCUGUAACACAGGCAGGCGCAUCAGCUGGGUAUAGCUCAAGAUCAAAAAUGUAAAAAAUAGGCUGCAAAAAAAGUUGACUAAAAUCAUUCCAAUCCUGCAUUAAAAUGCAACAGCUGUUUAAUCGCGGAACGAUUGGCUAGCUUUGGGAACAUGCAGAAAUGUGCUUGGAGAGAAGCUGCCAGCCUGUCUACCUUUCUCUCAGCAUUGAGCAGAGACAGUACCCGACAGUUUGCUUGAGGUCAGCUAUUUAGUCAGUGCGCUGAUUGCUUUGAAUUAGAUGUUGUGAUUUGAACUUGGCCUUGUAAGCCUCGCAGCCAGCUGUUUUAUGCGCCGGCUACUUAUACAUUGAUGUUGGCACAGGCGGUGCAUCCAGUAGGCUAGGGGAAGAUAAGCUUCCCCUAAAGUAAAUUGAAUGAAAUUUGCCAAAAUUUGCUAUAGCUUUUUUUUAUUUUACUAGGCAAGUCAGUUAAGAUCAAAUUCUUAUUUACAAUGACGGCCUAAUAAUUACUUGUGCCUUAUACAGAGAUAAAUAACAUCAUUACAAAUACUACACCAGAGAAUAUAAUGAUUUCACCACAGAGGAUCCUUAGCUUCUUUUAAAAAUGAGCUGUUGAUUGUUUUAACACUUUUCACACUUAACAAACUGGUGUGGUCAUUCUAAAGUAUGGUCCCUGGAGCUACAAUCAAACCGGUUUGAUUAGAACACUUAUUUAGAACGUCCAGUUUCGAUUGACGCAACAAUCAGCAUUUGAGCUAGCCACAGUUUUUUUCACAGAAACAUUUUUCAAAAGCACAGUCCUUACAAAGUUAUGUCCUGAAUGUGACAAGUUCAUUUUUGGAUGCAAUGUUCAGACUUUCACAGAAGUAGCAACAGCAUAACACAAUCAUCCAACCCGGAAAAUGUAAGCUACAUUAGUCCUCGCGCUAUCACCAUGCCCAAAAACCGCGUGCGCCAUCAUGUGCAAAUUGAUUUUGUCCCCCCACACAAAACGCGAUCAUGACACGCAGGUUGAAAUAUCAAAACAAACUCUGAACCAUUAUAUUAAUUUGGGGACAGGUCAAAAGCAUUAAACAUUUAUGGCAAUUUGGCUAGCUUGCAGUUGCUAUUUAGAUAGCUAGCUUGCUGUUGCUAGCUAAUUUGUCCUGGGAUAUACACAUUGUUAUUUUUCCUGAAAUGCACAAGGUCCUCUACUCCGACAGUUAAUCCACACACAAAACGGUCAACCAAAUUGUUUCUAGUCAUCUCUCCUCUUUCCAGACUUUUUCUUUUUUGGACUCUAUAUGGCGAUUGGCAACUAACUUUCAUAAGGUGUAUUACCACAACCGACCUCCGUUAAUCUUUCAAUCACCCACGUGGGUAUAACCAAUGAGGAGAUGGCACGUGGCAUAUGCUUCUAAAAGCCAAUGAGGAGAUGGGAGAGGCAGGACUUGCAGCGCUUUCUGUGCCACAAAUAGGAACAACUUCUAUUUUAGUGCCUGGCAACGCAGACGCUCGUUGGCGCAAUGAUUGAAUAACAUGUAUGUAUACAUUUAUUUUGCAACGCUGGCGUCAUCCUGAGGAACUGAGGAAAUAUUGACGCAACAAUAUUUAGAUAACUCUCGGCUGACAAAAACCACAAUAUGUGUCACGCCCUGGCCUUAGUAUUAUUUGUUUUAUUUAUUAUUUUAGUUAGGUCAGGGUGUGACAUGGGGUAUGUGUGUAUUUUGGGGUAUUAUAUGGUAGAGGGGGUGUUGGUUGUAGUUUAUGGUUUUGUGUUGAAUGUAUGUAUCUAGCUGUGUCUAUGGGUGUGUAGUUUUCUAGGAAAGUCUAUGGUGGCCGGAAUGGGUUCUCAAUUAGAGACAGCUGAUUUCUGUUGUCUCUAAUUGGGAGCCCUAUUUUAGGCUGCCAUAGGCUUUAGCUGUUUGUGGGUCAUUGUAUAUGUAUAUGUAUAUGUCGACGUAAGUAGUUUGUGUGUGCACUUGAGUUUGAAGUUUCACGAUCGUUUGUUGUUUUUGUUAGUGUUGUUUAAGUGUUUCGUGAUCAUCUUCGUCGUUGUAAAUAAAGAAGAUGUAUUCAUAUCA